GAUUGGACAAAGAAACGAUAGUAUGACUUAUUCGACCACCAAGUCAGUUCCAAAAACAUCAUUUAGAAAAGGCAUCCUAAACCAAUGUUUUUUAAAUCGGACCGGUAGUCAAACCAAUCAAGUUAUCGAUUCAUCAGUCAAAUUAAAAAAUUAUUUAAAAAAAACUAAAAAAAAAAUGGUUCUACCGGUAGUUCCCUAUCUAACCAGUUUAAA
rnacentral:lncRNA from 1 species